AAAGAUGCGCUAAUACCGCAUAAUCUCUAAGGAGAAAAGCAGGGGAUCGCAAGACCUUGCGCUUCGAGAGCGACCGAUGUCUGAUUAGCUAGUUGGUGAGGUAAAGGCUUAUCAAGGCUUCGAUCAGUAGCUGGUCUGAGAGGACGACCAGCCACACUGGGACUGAGACACGGCCCAGACUCCUACGGGAGGCAGCAGUGGGGAAUUUUGGACAAUGGGGGCAACCCUGAUCCAGCCAUGCCGCGUGAGUGAAGAAGGCCUUCGGGUUGUAAAGCUCUUUCAGCCGGAACGAAAAGGUUACGGUUAAUACCCGUGACUAAUGACGGUACCGGAAGAAGAAGCACCGGCUAACUACGUGCCAGCAGCCGCGGUAAUACGUAGGGUGCGAGCGUUAAUCGGAAUUACUGGGCGUAAAGCGUGCGCAGGCGGUUUUGUAAGUCAGAUGUGAAAUCCCCGGGCUUAACCUGGGAACUGCGUUUGAAACUACAAGGCUAGAGUGUGGCAGAGGGGGGUGGAAUUCCACGUGUAGCAGUGAAAUGCGUAGAGAUGUGGAGGAACACCGAUGGCGAAGGCAGCCCCCUGGGUUAACACUGACGCUCAGGCACGAAAGCGUGGGGAGCAGACAGGAUUAGAUACCCUGGUAGUCCACGCCCUAAACGAUGUCAACUAGUUGUCGGGUCUUAACGGGCUUGGUAACGCAGCUAACGCGUGAAGUUGACCGCCUGGGGAGUACGGUCGCAAGAUUAAAACUCAAAGGAAUUGACGGGGACCCGCACAAGCGGUGGAUUAUGUGGAUUAAUUCGAUGCAACGCGAAAAACCUUACCUACCCUUGACAUGUACCGAAGCCCGCCGAGAGGUGGGCGUGCC
rnacentral:rRNA from 1 species